rnacentral:rRNA from 1 species
AUACGUAGGGUGCAAGCGUUAAUCGGAAUUACUGGGCGUAAAGCGUGCGCAGGCGGUUUUGUAAGACAGUGGUGAAAUCCCCGGGCUCAACCCGGGAACUGCCAUUGUGACUGCAAGGCUGGAGUGCGGCAGAGGGGGAUGGAAUUCCGCGUAUAGCAGUGAAAUGCGUAGAUAUGCGGAGGAACACCGAUGGCGAAGGCAAUCCCCUGGGCCUGCACUGACGCUCAUGCACGAAAGCGUGGGGAGCAAACAGGAUUAGAUACCCUGGUAGUCCACGCCCUAAACGAUGUCAACUGGUUGUUGGGGAUUUAUUUUCUCAGUAACGAAGCUAACGCGUGAAGUUGACCGCCUGGGGAGUACGGCCGCAAGGUUAAAACUCAAAUGAAUUGACGGGG